GGGGGCACUGAAAUCUCGUGACGUAACUCUUCUUAUAGGCCUCUGGACUAAAGGAAAGAGCGGUUAAGGGAUAAAGAAACAAUUCAAUCAAAAGACAAGGAAGACUAUGUUUCUAACACCCAAGGUGACUCUAUAUAAAGAUGAGGCAACAAGAAUCUUCUUAGGCAGCCUGGUUGGCGUUAGCUGACCUAGUGACGUCACUGUUGCGGCAGUUCAGAUAAUUUCAUUGAAGUGAAGUGCACUAAUUUGUAUUUGUUAAGCAAAAAUGGCAUCAUCUCGAGGUUCAAAGUGUGUUUGUGCUAUUCCUUACUAUCCCAAUCCACGGGAUGCCCAGUAUUUUUCCUUUCUUCAGAAAAUUUUUAUGCUCCAGUGUCUUUAGAUCUCAGUUUGCAAGAAAAAAGAUCCAAUUCAAAUUAAGAAUGCUAAGAUUUUUGAUAGGCAUUUUAUACCCAAUGAUUUUGAGGGGAAUCUCCAGGCUGAACUUACUAAAGUUAGUUACUAAAUCAAUAACGACUCACUUCUUUUCGUCAAAUAUACAAGAAAAUGUACAUGAUAAAGAUGCAAUUGAAUCAUAGGAAACUUUAGAAGAUUCUGGAAUUGAAGCUCUUGUAGCCGGAAAAGGAAUUACCGCAGAUACAAAAGAAUGAUGUCAAGUUUCCAAUGAUUGUUCAGAUCAGGAUAUGGCUUAUUGUAGGAUUUUUUGGCAAAAAAAUUUAAGAACCUGAUAAAGGCAAGGAUGGAAUAGUUAGUAAUACAAACCAAUAAUAGUUAUUUAACUAAGAAUAGGAGUGAUUUUGAAGCCUCUACUCACCUUACAAGAAUCUCAAUACCGAAAUAGCAUUUGCAAAUAAGCAAUAUUUUAUAUAUACUAAUAUAUUAAGUCUAAAAUAAAAACCGAAUGAAUCAAAUAAUUGUAAUAUAUAAUUCGCUCGUUUGGCACACACUUAGUGAUUGAUUUAUUUUUGUAAAGAUACCAGAUUUAAUAAUAAUAAUAUUCAAACACAAUCUUUCAAUCAUUAAAAUACUUUUUUGUACUAUUCAUGAACUAAAUACAUUUGCACAGCCUUUUAAAAA
rnacentral:lncRNA from 1 species